rnacentral:rRNA from 1 species
AACGAACGCUGGCGGCAGGCUUAACACAUGCAAGUCGAGCGCGCCGCAAGGGGAGCGGCAGACGGGUGAGUAACGCGUGGGAAUCUACCCAUCUCUACGGAAUAACGCGUGGAAACGUGUACUAAUACCGUAGACGUACUUCGGGAGAUAGAUUUAUCGGAGAUGGAUGAGCCCGCGUUGGAUUAGCUAGUUGGUGGGGUAACGGCCUAGCAAGGAGACGAUCCAUAACUGGUCUGAGAAGAUGAUCAGCCCAACUGGGACUGAGACCCGGCCCAGACUCCUACGGAAGGCAGCAGUGGGGAAUAUUGGACAAUGGGCGCAAGCCUGAUCCAGCCAUGCCGCGUGAGUGAUGAAGGCCCUAGGGUUGUAAAGCUCUUUCACCGGUGAAGAUAAUGACGGUAACCGGAGAAGAAGCCCCGGCUAACUUCGUGCCAGCAGCCGCCGUAACAC